rnacentral:rRNA from 1 species
GACGAACGCUGGCGGCGUGCCUAAUACAUGCAAGUUGAGCGAUGAAGAUUUGUUCUUGCACCAAGUUGAAGAGCAGCGAACGUGUGAGUAACGCGUGUAGAAUCUGCCUUUCAUUGGGGUACAAUCUGUGGAAACGAAUGCUAAUACCGCAUAACAACUUUAAACAUGGUGUUUAAUGUUGAAAUAUGCAAUUGCAUCAUUCACAGAUGGUUUAUCGUUGUAUUAGUUAGUUGGUGAGGUAAAGGAUCACCAAGGCGUUGAUACAUAGCCGAACUGAGAGGGUGGGCGGCCGGACUGAGAGUGAGACACGGCACAAAGGCAUACGGGAGGCAGCAGUACGGAAUCUGCGGCCAUGGACGAAAGUUUGACCGAGCAACGCCGCGUGAGUGAAGAAGGUCUUCGGAUCGUAGAACUCUGUUGGUAGGGAAGAACGCUGGUGAGAGUGGAAAGAUCAUCAAGUGACGGUAACUAGUAAGAAAGGGACGGCUAACUACGUG